CUGGCCCUGAAUCAAGGCCAGCAGCUUCCUGACGCUGUUGGUUUCGAGCUGGAGCUUAAAGAGAUGUCUCUCUAUGGUCCGCUGGCCAAUUCAGAACUUGGGCAGUGAAAUGGUCAAUUCAUUAGAAAAAAAACAGC
ensembl:snoRNA small nucleolar RNA SNORA2/SNORA34 family